UGAGAGUUUCAGUUUCCCAUUUACUUUUCACUCUUGCUGACUACCUCUCUAGUUACUAUUUAAUAAACUGUCUACUGUACACUUACCCAAGAUUUGCUCUCAGUGGAAAGUGUUUCUUUACACUGCAAGUUACAUAGGACAGCAGCAUUUCUCCUGUGUAGUCAAGUGCUAUUCACUACCACUUAUGCAUCUUUCUGGGAUUAUGAAUACCAUUUCCCAAAGAGAAAGAGAGGAGGAAGAUGCAAAAGCAAACAAAAGAUCAUUUCACCAGAGCUGCCAGUAACACUCCAGAGCCUGGUAACAAAAGAACAGCAGAGAUUGCUUUGAAAUAAACAUAAUGAAGGAAAAAGAAGGAAAUCCCACAACAGGUGAAUGUAGGAAUUGAAGGCAGAGACCUGAGCCAAAUCAUCGGUUUAUGUGUAUUUCUGGAAUUACCAACUCAGAGAGAUGCUACCUCAAACCAGACCUUCAAUGCAUCGCCACUGCCUUUUCCUGGACACCAUACUUCUGCAUCAGAUGGCAACACAUGCCAUUUCCCUAUUUACUGCUAUACCUUAACCACACAGCAGCUGGCAAAUCCAAGUCAGAAGCUCCCUCCAUAGCCAGUGAGUUUGCCCUAGGUGCAUGCAAAACACCGCUGCCAGUUGCAGCAGCUUCCUCGCUGCAGUACCCAGCCCUCUGGCCAGCAGUCAGUGCCAGCUGAGCCAGGAUGUUACGAGUAG